UUAGUUGGACACAUGGGUAUUGAAGUAGUAUUAGUUUUCUUCUGUUCAUUGACAGUGUGUUUAAUUUUAAAUUUAAAUUUUAAAUUUUAAUGAAAAAAAAGUUAAUUUCACUUAAUAAAAACUGUGAUAUGAACUCAAAAACUGCAAUUGAUUAACCAUUAUUUAAACUGAAUAAAUACUGAAUAACUGAAUCCCUCACACACACCGAAAAAACCCCGCGCUUUUAUUUUGACACGCGCCCAUCCCCCCACAUUUCACGGUCGGAGUCAGUUUCACAGAGCAGCGCAGGAGGACGACAGACACAUAAAGAACAUUAACAGUUUAGGGCAAACGUUUCCCGCGCAAGUUUGAAUCUCUCUCAGUCAGUCAGGGGGAGAUUAACUGACUGACUGUCUACACGCCACCAAACAGUCAGUUAUACAGAAACCUUUUUAAGUUUAGUUUGAAUCUCUCUCAGUAAUUCAGGGGGAGAUUAACUGACAGACUGUAUAACGUUACAGGCCACCAAACAGUCUUACCAAGAAACCUUUUACAGUUUAGCACAAAUGUUUCCCGUGGAAGUUUGAAUCUGUCUCAGUCAGGGGGGAGAUUGACUGACAGACGGUCUACUUGCCACCAAACAGUAAUUUACCCUGAAACCUUUUACAGUUUAGCACAAACGUUUCCCGCGCAAGUUUGGAUCUUUACCAUUGAGGGUGGCUGACUGUUCUCGACCAACCAUCAUUCACAUGCAAAAACUUUAAAGAUAAGUAUGAACGUGCCCAGAGCAGUUUUCGAUCUUUACCAUUAAGGAGGCUGACUGACUAUCCUCUACCACCCGUCAUUAACACAAGAAAAACUAAAGAAAUGUUACUCCAUAUGGACCUAUUCAUUUACUCAUUAUGCUGUGAGUACACCAGUUUUAUCAGGGAAAAAAUUUAUAUUUGUGUGUUUCUCACUGCUUGACAAGGACAGAUGUGGCCCUGUUAAAAAUGUUUAAAUGUUGUUUGGUUUAAGGAACAGCACACUGAUUUUGUUUUUAAAUAUUCCUGUUUGGACAGUCUGUUAAAGUCAUAAAGGAAUACUUGAUAUAUUUCAUAAGUAAAGUGUAAAUGUAAUAUUAGUUUUUAAUGUUGUGAAUUUGGACUGAA